CAGUAGCCGCGGUAAAACGAGGGGGGCAAGCGUUGUUCGGAAUUAUUGGGCGUAAAGGGUGCGUAGGCGGUUUGGCAAGUUUGGUGUGAAAUCUUUGGGCUCAACUCGAAGUCUGCAUCGAAAACUGCCGGGCUUGAGUAUGGGAGAGGUGAGUGGAAUUUCCGGUGUAGCGGUGAAAUGCGUAGAUAUCGGAAGGAACACCUGUGGCGAAAGCGGCUCACUGGACCAUAACUGACGCUGAUGCACGAAAGCUAGGGGAGCAAACAGGAUUAGAGACCCCCGUAGUCCCUGUCUCUUAUAA
rnacentral:rRNA from 1 species